CACCUGGGCCGGGAGGGGCUGAGAGGGGAAAGCCGGCCCCGCACCUCAGCGAAUUCCAGGAAGAAUUCUUUUAGAACAGAACGUUGUUCUGUUACGGAUACCACAGAUGCUAAUUUCUCCUGUUCCAUCAACUGUUUAAAUGCUGUAAUCGAUCCUGAACUUACAUUUUGCAAUGUGAAACUGCAUGACUGUUAAUGAUAUCAGUACAAAGAGCAAGACUAGAAGUUUGAAGCAAGUCCUAGUCUGUGAGAUUCUUCUUAUCAUCUGCCAUUACAAUGAACACAGGGCUACUGAAGGACUGAGUGCCUGACAUCUGUUAUAGUAGGUAAGGUGUUUUAGACAGGAAAUGACUGAGAUAUAAUCUUCUCUGGAAAAGUAAGUGUCUAGUUCUUGAGUGUAAAAUGGAAACUCCAUUACAUAAACUCUCCCUUAUGGACACUAAAUUAAAUUUUAAUUGAGAAUUUCCUGUGCAUGUAACAAAAAACAAAACAAAAAAACAAACAAAAACCACAACAAAACAAACAAAAAAACCAGCACACAAAAAAAAUCCAAAGCAACCCAGCCUGAACAAAAGCCAGAGCCCUUGUGGCUAUAGCAACUGGGGGAAAAAAAAAUGACCCUCUUAAAAUUCAUGCCUUUAAGUGAAUGGAAAACAUCAUGAAAACCUAAAACAUUUAGAAUUCAAAGGAAAAUAAAUUAUUAAACAGAAAUGUUUGUCUUUUAUGCCAAAGUCAAUUUCUGACAAUAAACUGAAUAUUCUGUGAUAAAUCAUGUUGAAUUUCAUACACAUUUCUCUUGGAAUUCAGUUGUGCUUCUGACCCAAAAAAGAAAAGGUGAACAUCUCUAUUGGCGUCUUAGGUAAGUGUACAAUGCUACAAUCUAAGAAAAGAUGAAGGAGAGGGGUAUUUUUCUCUACUUGCUUACUUUGUACCGCAGAAAAGUCUUUAUAGAUUUUCUGCUUUAUUGUUGCUGCGAGUUACUAAUUUCCCUUUGUUAUGACUUAGUUAAGUGGAGAAUAGUUGUUUUUUUGUUAGUUUGUUUUUAAUCUGUUUUGUUUUUAAAGGAAGGAAUAGUGCUUUUAAAACCAUAACAAAUAGUGGUAAGAAGUAGAAGAGUAAGUAUGUACAACUUUAAUUUUAUGAAGUUAAUCUAAUUUGGCAUUGUUUUUUUUAAGUUGAGAUCUACCAAGGUGGUCAAGUCAGUUCUACAUUGCUACUUAUUGAUGACUGUUUUGCUAAUCAGUCACGUACAACUCAGAAAAGAUUUUGUUUUUUACUCCAUAAAAUUUACACCAGUGUUUCCAGAGGUCUCACUAAUGCGUAAGUAUAUCCUAUUACUCAUUUUAUAAGUGCUGUGUUCGAAGUGAUGUGCUUUUGGUUUGUGUUUUUUUUUGUUUUGUUUUGUUUUGUUUCUGAUGUGGUCUUCACUAUAUGCUACUUGCAGUGAAGUUCUGGAUAAUGUACAAUAGCAUAAUUUGUCUGUGUUAACAUGUAUCCUUCCAUUUACAGAAACUUCUAGUUAAAAAAAAGUGACACUGGACAAACUUUAAGUAUCUUUAAAUUUGCUUAGCUAGGAAGAUGAAAUUGACCCUAAUACUCUUACAGCCUAAAUCAAGGUAUGUUGAAGUAAGUAAAGCAACUGCAGUGAUUCCUAUGGUAUUCAAUGUAGACUAUCUUUUGUGUCCCAAUCUGUGUUAUGGAAAAAUGUGUAUACACGUAUAUUAUACAUACACUUUUGUGAAGCUUCUUUUUUGUGAUUAUUUCUAUUUGCUUCACCUCAGUCCCAAACAAAUAAUGGAUAUAUUGUUUAUCUCUUGUUAUACAGUCUGUUUUCUUUUGUUACGUUUCCAUUUAUUCCCCUGCUCUAUGAAUGCUAAAUGAGAUUAUGACAAGCCUCAACUAAGUUGUAAACUUAUAUAAUUAAUAUCUGCUAUCCUUUCUAGAAGAAUUAAAGUGCACAAUGUAUUGUUCCUUUACUCUUUGCCUUAUGCAUUUAGAUUUUAAUUGAUCUAAGGAAACUUACUUCUGAGGUAAAAAUGAGGAUCAAAACAAGACCUUUUGUUUCCAUUAGAAGCACUUAAUGGUCUUGUUUUCAGAAGGUCUAAUUGUUUUCAGAAUAGCUUCAUUAACUUCUGAAAGUGUUACCAAGACAGGCAUCCCCAGAGCCAGGAUGCUAAUUAGAAGGAAAACUGGCCUUAGAGUAGUUGAAGAAUGGUGUCUUCUUUAAAAGAGCAAGAAGGCUCAUUCAAUCAUUGACAGAAUGUUUCUGCCAAGAAGUAGGAAUAACUGCCAGUUAUACAAACUCAGAGAAUACCUGUGACAAAUGGCUUAUUCCCACAGUCAAAUUACUUCUUCAGACAACCAACAACAGGAAGCUCUCUGAUGAUUAAGUAAAUCGUGCUGAGAUGUCCGUCAACUUCAGUGCAGUCCAAGUAGUGUCGUUUAUGGCCAACUUUAUCUGUCAGCUCCAAUAUUUCUAAUUCAGUAGGUUAGGCAUGUUUGGAGGGUGCUUUGAUUGCUUUCUUAGGUGCCAGAAUAGCAGUAACAACACAUUUGGUCUUCAUCACAUUCACACUGACUUUAUAUUGAAGCUCUUUUAUGUCCAGCCAAAAAAAAAGCACCAAUAAACUUAUGAAGAACUGAAGAAUAAGCAGAUAUAAAAUGCAAACAUGAUGAUUGAUAACAGCAUGCAUCCUAAAUCUAUGUAAAAAUUCCUGAAUUAAAAAUAAGUGGUGUAUGGAAAGAAAUUUCUCCAAAUUUAUGUAAAAAUUACUGUCAAAUGAUUCAAAUAGAAAUACCUUUUAACAAAAAUAAGCAACUACAAUUAUUAUCAGUCAGAUCCUGGAAGUUCUAUGUUAGUAUGUAUCUCAGAUGUGUGCUGUUAAUAAACUAAAACAUUCUUUGGCCAGGACUGAGGCGUGACAGUGAGCUGCACUGAGCUCUCCGUGGCCAAGACUGUCAAUUCUAAAGGAAGUUUCUGUGUUCUUGCUGUCAUUUGGUAAGUUGUGAACUAUGAUCUGGGCUUGCUGCACUGGCAAGAGAAUAGGGAAAAUCACCUCAUCUCAAUAGUAAAACUGUCAGUAGUAAAAGGGUAAUUCUCAGUCUCUCCAGUAGUUACAGGGAAGCUGAUACUAAGGUCAAACUGCAAAACAAAAGACCAAUACUAGUGCCAAUGAACAUGUCAACAUUAAGCACCGUUUUUUCAGAGAAGUACUUUAACACUUCAAUAUUCUGUGAUUCAGAUGGUAUCUGGACACAGUAGAGGUUUUUUCAUUGAUUCUUAGAUGAAACUAAAGCUGUUAGACAUUUUAGAGGCCACCCUGGCAAGGCUGGACCCAGAAAAAGGAUAGUCCUUCAAAGUCUGAAGGUGACAUUGAAGGAACUCAGCAACAGAUACAAAAAAUCCCAACCUAUUCAAUAGGCAUUAUACACCCUCUGUGUGUACUUGCUCCUAAGCUUGGCAACCGCACAAGUGUUGGCAUUGCUGCUUACUCUAAGAUUGCAGUCUGUAUCAGAUUGGGUGCUGAGGAAAAGAAUAAGCUUUUACCAUCAUGAUGGCAUCAGAAUUCACAACUCCUGCAGUACCUGAAAAAUAAAGACCAGAUAAUGCAAAGUUUCCAGUGAAAUCAACAUGCAUUUAAAUCAGUUAAAUUAAUUUAAUCUACAGAGAGGAAAAAUAAUUAUAAAUAUCACUUUUCCAACACACAAAAUCACAGCACUGCAAAUGGAAAUGUUACUGGCAUGGUGCCCUUUCCCUGUGUUGACGGUAUUUCCAAGUAUGCUGCCUUAUUGCUUCUGUGCUAGAUUGAUAUUACAACUACGAUGUGUGGGAAUGACUGGAAAUCUUUCCAGUGCUAGGCUUGAUGCCCAUGGCAUUUUGAAACUUUCUACCCACCUUCUUCCACUCAGCAUAACCAAAGGCAAAAUAGGUGCAGCCAAAACAAGUGUUCAUUAGUAGGAGGUUCUGUACUUUCCUACCUUCUCCCAAAUCAAGGUGAAAAACGUGUAGGCUUUAUGACGAACGAACUGUUAGCUCUACUAUGGCAAUCAGUAAGUUGUAUUAUAGGAGAAUGACACAUUUUUAUCAGCUAGCACACUGAAAGGAAGGACUGGUUGCAAGUGAUAUUUGUGCAGGGCAAUCUCUUGAGAGGUAGGUGGCUGAGAGGCAAGGUUGUCAGCAGCUGGACCCUCAAAAGUAGUUUUAUAUUAAGAAAACAUCUGAGAAUCCUGUGAGGAAUCAGUGUCACCAGUGUGUGGGCAUAAAUAGAUGGAUUUUACUUACAUAAGCCCUUAAAAAUCCCUGUGUGAUUAAUCGAAGCUUGAUAAAGGGGACAGCUGCAUUUGAAAAGAAUCUAUACCCAUUAGGUGAACUCAUACCUCUUGUUCUUCCUAAGCUAAGAAAGCUCAUUCUCUCUUGAAUUGUUACCAGGUUUUUACAAAACAGUUUUUCUGAACUGGUUACCCCUCUGUAUUUGAGCCUAGUUGGGAAUGGUUACUGGAACUAACAAUGGACAAUUUAUUUCUUCCAUGGAGAACAAAAGACCCUUUUUGGGAAACACCGAUUUUCAAUUUCCUUUACUGCACCAAGCCUAGUAAGGGUAUAUUUUCUAUGCUAAAAUGUUAACAUGUUGGGCUGAUUAACGUCCCUUGAACAACAUGAUUACGCAACAAGAUCAGUAGCCCCACAGUCCCAUACUUUCCAGGUAGUUCUGAGGUAACAUAUAGGUAUGUUCUGCCUUUCCUUUUGAUAACCUUCCCUUUUGUAAAUAAAAGUUUUAAACUCAGAAGAGAAUAUUUUCUGCCACUAGUACAUCUGUAUCAACUUCAUCCCCCUCAGCAAACUGCUAACUCUACAACUGUACACAGACUUCUGUUAAGUGCAUGCUGUUUUAUCAGGGACAGAAAGAUGGACUUCUUUUAUAAAACAAGUUGAAGUGGAAAGAGUAGAUUCAGUAGGACAAGUAGUUAAUAUAAAUUACUAAGAAAUACAAUGCCAAAAAUAUCCUGUCUCCAUCAGUUUAAAUUCGCACCUACUCCUAUCUGAGCAGGAGAGAGAAAACAGAAAUCUCCUUCAGCUUUCAAAACUUCAUCCGUCUCCUGAGAAUCAAAUUUUCAGCUGGCAGAUGUCAGCAGGCAGCACCAGAACUGUACUGUAUUCCUGAAGGAUCCACUCGUCAACACCAGACUGCCACAGCUUGAGUGUCAGAGUCACAGAUAACUCCCAGCAUUACUUGAGGGCAGUUAAAUUCCCUGGGAACCUUGUCUGAUGUUGUCAGCCUGACUGGGUAGUAAAGCAGACCACCACUUCUGCAGGUGGGUAGAGGGUGCACUUAAUGCUUUAGUCUCUUCCUGUUGCUAUGCCUGUUACCAGCUAUUCCUAAAAACCAAUUGCUUUCCUGAGACAGACAUUGGGUCCCAAUGAACAGCAUCAGCAGUGCAUUGUCUGGGGGGGAGGACAGCAUUAAGCAAAUCAAACACAAAUGAUGGUACUGAGUGGACUUGGAGUGGACAGUGAACAAAGGGAAAGGAACCCAAGACAGUUGUAUCACGUUAACAGUUAACAGUUAAUACUGUUUAGGUGAAACCAUCACAGUAGUACACCAGACAGGAAUGUAAAUGAUGGAAGUGUGGAUGUAAAUGUUUUUUAGGCUGUUUAAGGGUGUUCCUGUGGAAAGUUGCAUAGCUUCUAAUUAGAAUGCUUGUUGAAAACCCUGCAUCAGAAAAAUGGAAAACAGAAUCUGAACAUGCUGCGUAUCAUGAAUCUGACUGAACAGGACUUGGAGAGGAAAUUACAAGUGUGUUUUAGCAGUCACUGAAAAUUAUCUCAUGGGUUCUUUAUGUAUACGUGUUUUUGUCAUAUCAAGCUGCAGGAGCUUAGGAGUUUUGUAGAGCUUCUUGAAAGUGCUGUGGUUCACUAGAUGUCUGAGACUCUUCAGCAACACUAAAGAUUCCAUCCUUAGCCACAGUGAGUUACCAUAGACCAUACCAUAGACGAGCAGCAUACGGGUGCUGAGACCACAAAUCUGACAAAGAUGUGCAGACGUGCUCAACACUGCGUGCUGCAAGUUGGCCCAGAGAAAACUAGAAGGCUUUUAUAGGAAAUAUGAAGACUUUUGCAAGAGACCAGCCCCAGGUGUGGACAGUGUAGCAUUAUAGACGCAGUCUAGAACAGCAGAAUGACUGUGGUCCAACAGACUACUUUGUGCCUGAUCUGUAGUUAAGCAGAUUGGCUCCUGCUACUGCUGUUGUCACCAGAGUACAGACAGGAUGUCUGGUGUGAUGUCUGUCCACUGCUGGUAUUGAGGGUCCUCUCCAGCAGUGUUGUAUCUGGCAACAUGCUACCCACCCUCAUAGAAGUACUGGAGUUGACCACUACUUCACUGAAUUGUCUCCAGCCCGUCUCCUUCUCAUUCCUUUCCCUUGGCAACAGCAUCCCCAAAUCCCUCAGCUUUGAAGCAGAAACACUGCAUUUAGCAUGUGUUGAGAUUGUUGAGCUGGCUGUUCUUUGUAGCAUAGGUCUUACAUAUGUACCGGAAAUUCACACUGAUUAAAUACAACUGUCAUAUUCAGUUCCUUAGUAAGUUUUGUCAAGCAAACAAAGGUAGCUUUUGAAGAGAAUUGGUAUGGUGGAAGGCAACCAAAUGUAGUAGCAAACUAUGGGUAGAAAUCAGAUGUGCACGCACCAUUUAUCAUAAUUAGAGAUUAUUUGAUGGUAUCACUACACUUCUACACUUAGAUGCCUUUAAAAAAAAAAAUCUAAGAAAAAUUGUUCUAAGUUCUUUUACCCACAAAUAGAACCUAAAGGUGUUACUCUUAGGUAGCUACGAACAAGAGAGAAGUGAUGUCGUACAGUGCUAUUCAUAUACCACACAACUAAACUCACCAGCUUUCUAAGAGCAACAAUCAAAACAACAUUCUCUCUCCCACCCACAUCAGACAGAUCCAUAAAUUCUAUAAACCUCACAUUUACACAAAAUACGGGUCUCAUUGUGUUCAAAAUCGUUAGGCUUGGUGAAUGAGUGAUGCAGAACCUCCUUACAGAAUUGCAGUAUUACACCGAAAGUGUAGUUGUGGUACAUCUCAUCAGGCUCUGAAUCUCUCCAUUGAUUUUUGGCAGGAAUCUGCUCUAUUCCCUUAUACUUACUAGAUCCUUUCUUUGAAACGAGAACUAAACAGUCGGAAUUGAUUAUCACAUUAUUGUUUCAAAGGAAACCAAAAGAUGCUGUAGUUAAGAAGAAGUAAUUAGGCAAAAUUUACUACUUUUUGAAAACAUUGCUCUGAGGAAUAAGUAGUAAUUCAUGUGAAAUACAUAGUAGUGUUCUGCUCAGAGGGGGAGAAAAGAAAAGCAACCUGAGUUCUGCACUUCUAUAGCUAUAAGAGACUCUUCUAAAUUUGUGAUCUUUUUGCAUGUUUCUGGAUUCCCUUGUUUUGUUAAAGCAGAAAUUCACAGAUGCAAGUGGAAAUAUCUGGACAGUAGGAGGGAGUAAAAGGUAACCAGCAUGAAAAACAGCUGUGGAACACAGGCAAGACACUGGUUUCACUGUUUUUGAUUUUUUUUGCUUCCCUCCUUCCUCCCCCCUCCCAUGAUUUGUGUUGGUGAGGUUUGCAUUCUGAAAGCUUUAGCUCCCUGUUAAUGCAGAUUCUCAUCUAGGAUUAUAUACAUUUAAAUCCUCAUACAGUUGUAAGCAAUGAACAUUAGCAACCUUUAUUUACACUGCUGUUCUAUAAAAAGCAGAGGAAAUGCCGAAAAGAGGAUAUUUUCCUUUGGCAAAAGGACACAACCUGAUUAGAAUAUUAUAUAAUAUUAAUACUCAUUUGGCAUCUUUUCUGAGGCAGAUCUAGAAAUUCAACACCUAAGAUGGUGGUGGCAACUGAAGGCUGGAAAAAGUGAAAUUGUCUGUCUGAGAACUUUUUAAUGAGUUGUUCAGAACUGACUGGUAGAGGUAGAUGAGAAGGAGCACAUGGGAGAAAAAGAAGAGUGGCUGCCAACACUGCAAGAGUCUCUAUUCCUUCCCUUACAGUUAUGACAGAAAGGGAAUGUUGCAGCCAUAAGCAGGGAUAGGCUGGAGCAGGACCAGGAAUACUGACACAUACUCCCACCUCUGCUGGAGGCCAGGUACCUGAGCUUCAUGCAAGCACUCAGAAAAGGAAUUAGGCACUACUGAAGAAGCAGCCAGCUUGAAACAAUUCUGUAAUGGAACUUAAGCCAUGAACCAAGGCCAGCCUCCAUGUCGGCAGGGCGGUGAAUCCACUGACCCAAGUGCAGCCUCCCGUAACUUGGCAACAUGAGUGAAAACAGAUUCAGUGGCAAUCCUAAAUAAGGCAUGGUGAAGGACCAGCUCCACAGUCCAGCCAGUCUAGUCAGGAGCAGAGAGUGCUGCAGCUUGGGGCUGCAUUACAAACCUGUUUGAGCCAAAGACUGAAACAAGCACAGAUAACAACAUUCACAUAAUUCAGAGCAAAAAGUAGGUUCUCAGACCUGAGAUUGAAUAGCUCUGGAGCAUGGGAGAGAGUGGACGGGGUCCCAGAUAAGGCAGGUUUGGGCAAUUAAGACCUGUUAAUGUGCCCUGGACUCUAAGGAGAAAAAAGAAAAUGGCUCAUAGCUUCUGUUGUGUUGUAUGUCUUUCCGCUUGCUGAGAAGCAGUAAUAUGAAGUACGUGUUUAUGGUUCAUCAGAACAAUAACUGCUGCCUCAGCAGCAGUUGUUUCAAAGAGAAUACAAGUCUGUAGAUUAAAAAAAGAGGGAAAAAA